UUUUUGUGAUUAAAACUGGAUAGGGUAUGGCAAAUUAUUUAAUUGGGUUAUUAAAAGGCAGGAAACCUGCGUGGGGCAUAUGAGUAAUCUUAUUUAUUACCAUUAGUAUAGCAAAAAGAUUCAUUGUGUGGUAUAAUUUUAGCACCAUGGACACCAUUAUUCUGAGUAAGAUUUACAGAAAAAAAAUCAAGAUAUAUUUCGAGUUCAUUUAUUGGAUUAAGAAUCCCGAAAUCGUCAUAAUAUAGCAGACUUUGUUAAGCUAAGGUAACACUUCUGACUGAUCCUGGGCACGACUGCAGCUUCUUGUUUCAUGAAUGAUGCUAUGACAGCUAUGGUAGGACUACACUGAAAAUGUCUUGGAACUAAUAGACAAGAAAACAUGGAUUUCUGAAUUAAUCUCUGGAUAUUUGAUGAAGUACUACAAUUUCAUAAUCUGAGAGAGCUGUACACUGGAUAUAAAUUGUAUUUUCAUGAAGCCGGUACACUCUGCCAGAUCUGGGAUUUGGACUUCCACAUCCUUGUGUUCAACAUGUCUUCACCUACCACUAAACUUCAUUAUGUUCAGCAUGUCUCCAGUUACUAGUAAGCUUCAUCAAGUUGGCUGCUUUGUUCAUCUGACCCAAGUUUCCAUCUAAUUUCAUCCAUUUUGUCACUUCGAUGAUAAGCAAACAGAAUGAUUAUUUUAAGACUUUAAAUGGAAUCAUGAAUAAAAAUGUUUGUACUAAGA